CAAGGCUUGACAUGUUCCAGACCGGGCUAGAGAUAGUCCUUCCCUUCGGGGCUGGUUCACAGGUGGUGCAUGGUUGUCGUCAGCUCGUGUCGUGAGAUGUUGGGUUAAGUCCCGCAACGAGCGCAACCCUCGUUCCAUGUUGCCAGCACGUAGUGGUGGGGACUCAUGGGAGACUGCCGGGGUCAACUCGGAGGAAGGUGGGGAUGACGUCAAAUCAUCAUGCCCCUUAUGUCUUGGGCUUCACGCAUGCUACAAUGGCCGGUACAAUGGGUUGCGAUACUGUGAGGUGGAGCUAAUCCCUAAAAGCCGGUCUCAGUUCGGAUUGGGGUCUGCAACUCGACCCCAUGAAGUCGGAGUCGCUAGUAAUCGCAGAUCAGCAACGCUGCGGUGAAUACGUUCCCGGGUCUUGUACACACCG
rnacentral:rRNA from 1 species